rnacentral:rRNA from 1 species
CCUACGGGUGGCAGCAGUGGGGAAUAUUGGACAAUGGGCGAAAGCCUGAUCCAGCCAUGCCGCGUGUGUGAAGAAGGCCUUCGGGUUGUAAAGCACUUUCAGUGGGGAAGAAAGCCUUGGGGCUAAUACCCUCGAGGAAGGACAUCACCCACAGAAGAAGCACCGGCUAACUCCGUGCCAGCAGCCGCGGUAAUACGGAGGGUGCGAGCGUUAAUCGGAAUUACUGGGCGUAAAGCGCGCGUAGGCGGUCUGAUAAGCCGGUUGUGAAAGCCCCGGGCUCAACCUGGGAACGGCAUCCGGAACUGUCAGGCUAGAGUGCAGGAGAGGAAGGUAGAAUUCCCGGUGUAGCGGUGAAAUGCGUAGAGAUCGGGAGGAAUACCAGUGGCGAAGGCGGCCUUCUGGACUGACACUGACGCUGAGGUGCGAAAGCGUGGGUAGCAAACAGGAUUACAUACCCCAGUAGUC